AACGAACGCUGGCGGCAGGCCUAACACAUGCAAGUCGAACGCUGUAGCAAUACAGAGUGGCAGACGGGUGAGUAACGCGUGGGAACCUUCCCAAUGGUACGGAAUAGCUCAGGGAAACUUGAGGUAAUACCGUAUAAGCCCCUAGGGGGAAAGAUUUAUCGCCAUUGGAUGGGCCCGCGUCGGAUUAGCUAGUUGGUGGGGUAAUGGCCUACCAAGGCGACGAUCCGUAGCUGGUUUGAGAGAAUGACCAGCCACACUGGGACUGAGACACGGCCCAGACUCCUACGGGAGGCAGCAGUGGGGAAUCUUGGACAAUGGGCGCAAGCCUGAUCCAGCCAUGCCGCGUGAGUGACGAAGGCCUUAGGGUUGUAAAGCUCUUUUGCCGGGGACGAUAAUGACGGUACCCGGAGAAUAAGUCCCGGCUAACUUCGUGCCAGCCGCCGCCGUAA
rnacentral:rRNA from 1 species